rnacentral:rRNA from 1 species
CCUACGGGAGGCAGCAGUGAGGAAUAUUGGUCAAUGGCCGGAAGGCUGAACCAGCCAUGCCGCGUGAAGGUCAGUGCCCUAUGGGCGUUAAACUUCUUUUGUGCGGGAGCAAUAAUGGUCACGUGUGGCCAGACGAGAGUACCGUACGAAUAAGCAUCGGCUAACUCCGUGCCAGCAGCCGCGGUAAUACGGGGGAUGCAAGCGUUGUCCGGAUUUAUUGGGUUUAAAGGGUGCGUAGGCUGUGAGGUAAGUCAGCGGUGAAAUGCCCCCGCUCAACGGGGUGAAGUGCCAUUGAUACUGCCUGGCUGGAAUGCGGAUGCCGUGGGAGGAAUGUGUGGUGUAGCGGUGAAAUGCAUAGAUAUCACACAGAACACCGAUUGCGAAGGCAUCUCACGAAGCCGCGAUUGACGCUGAUGCACGAAAGCGUGGGUAUCAAACAGGAUUAGAUACCCUUGUAGUC